rnacentral:rRNA from 1 species
GAUGAACGCUGGCGGCGUGCCUAACACAUGCAAGUCGAGCGAAGCACUUUGCUUUGAAUCUUUCGGGAGGACGAGUGAUUUGACUGAGCGGCGGACGGGUGAGUAACGCGUGGGCAACCUGCCUCACACAGGGGGAUAACAGUUAGAAAUGACUGCUAAUACCGCAUAAGGCCACAGCACCGCAUGGUGCAGGGGUAAAAACUCCGGUGGUGUGAGAUGGGCCCGCGUCUGAUUAGUUAGUUGGUGGGGUAACGGCCUACCAAGACGACGAUCAGUAGCCGGACUGAGAGGUUGAACGGCCACAUUGGGACUGAGAUACGGCCCAGACUCCUACGGGAGGCAGCAGUCGGGAAUAUUGCGCAAUGGAGGAAACUCUGACGCAGUGACGCCGCGUAUAGGAAGAAGGUUUUCGGAUUGUAAACUAUUGUCGUUAGGGAAGAAAAAAGACAGUACCUAAGGAGGAAGCUCCGGCUAACUACGUGCCAGCAGCCGCGGUAAUACGUAGGGAGCAAGCGUUAUCCGGAUUUAUUGGGUGUAAAGGGUGCGUAGACGGGUAAUCAAGUUAGUUGUGAAAUCCCUUGGCUUAACUGAGGAACUGCAACUAAAACUGGUUAUCUUGAGUACAGGAGAGGUAAGUGGAAUUCCUAGUGUAGCGGUGAAAUGCGUAGAUAUUAGGAGGAACACCAGUGGCGAAGGCGACUUACUGGACUGAAACUGACGUUGAGGCACGAAAGUGUGGGGAGCAAACAGGAUUAGAUACCCUGGUAGUCCACACUGUAAACGAUGGAUACUAGGUGUAGGGGAUAUUAAGUUCUCUGUGCCGUCGCAAACGCAGUAAGUAUCCCACCUGGGGAGUACGGCCGCAAGGUUGAAACUCAAAGGAAUUGACGGGGCCCGCACAAGCAGUGGAGUAUGUGGUUUAAUUCGAAGCAACGCGAAGAACCCUACCAGGGCUUGACAUAUAGAGGAAUAUGCUAGAGAUAGUAUAGCUCUUCGGAGUCUCUAUACAGGUGGUGCAUGGUUGUCGUCAGCUCGUGUCGUGAGAUGUUGGGUUAAGUCCCGCAACGAGCGCAACCCCUAUUUCUAGUUGCCAGCACGUAAAGGUGGGAACUCUAGAGAGACUGCCGGUGACAAAUCGGAGGAAGGUGGGGACGACGUCAAAUCAUCAUGCCCUAUAUGUCCUGGGCUACACACGUACUACAAUGGCUGUAACAAAGAGAAGCGAAAUCGCGAGGUGGAGCAAAACUCAAAAAAGCAGUCUCAGUUCGGAUUGAAGGCUGAAAUUCGCCUUCAUGAAGCCGGAAUUGCUAGUAAUGGCAGGUCAGCAUACUGCCGUGAAUACGUUCCCGGGCCUUGUACACACCGCCCGUCACACCAUGAGAGUUGGGGAUACCCGAAGCCUGUGAGCUAACAAUUAUGAGGCAGCAGUCGAAGGUAGAAUCAAUGAUUGGGGUGA